ACGGAGGGUGCUAGCGUUAUUCGGAAUUACUGGGCUUAAAGGGCGCGUAGGCGGCUUGGUAAGUCAGAGGUGAAAUCCUAGGGCUCAACUGCAGAACUGCCUUUGAGACUGCAGCGCUUGAAUACAGUAGAGGUGAGUGGAAUUCCGAGUGUAGCGGUGAAAUUCGUAGAUAUGCGGCAGAACACCAGUGGCGAAGGCGGCUCACUGGAUUGUUAUUGACGCUGAUGUGCGAAAGCGUGGGGAGCAAACAG
rnacentral:rRNA from 1 species